rnacentral:rRNA from 1 species
AAACCAGCACCUCAAGUGGUCAGGAGGAUUAUUGGGCCUAAAGCAUCCGUAGCCUGUUCUAUAAGUUUUCGGUUAAAUCCAUUAGCUCAACUAAUGGGCUGCCGAAAAUACUGUAGAACUAGGGAGUGGGAGAGGUAGACGGUAUUCGGUAGGAAGGGGUAAAAUCCUUUGAUCUAUUGAGGACCACCUGUGGCGAAGGCGGUCUACCAGAACACGUUCGACGGUGAGGGAUGAAAGCUGGGGGAGCAAACCGGAUUAGAAACCCCGGUAGUCC